rnacentral:lncRNA from 1 species
GAAAAGGACACACUACACACUACUUCUCUUAUUCAAUGAAGAUAAACGAGAAUUGGGAAGAAAUUAAGAGAAUGACAAAACUCGAGUUUGUUAGAGCAAUUCAUAUGUUGUCAUCCUUCGAGUAAAUCAUCUUUGGGAAGCAAAAAUCAACUGUUAUAAGAGGUGGGAUUGGUAUGAGGAGGAUAAAUAAAUGAAGUUAAGUUUGUUCUCCAGCGCAGGAAGGCAAAAUUUAGACAGAAGGUCCUUGUUACAAUUUGUUUGACAUGAUCUUUGUAGUGAUACAACCAGAUUCUUCAGUGAUGGAUAAGUCAUCUGAAGCCACUGUAAGAUUUGAUUUUUUCAGGUAAACAUGAUUAUGCAUAAUGUAAAAAUCUUUCUUUUCAAUAAAUGACAAUGUUUAAGUUGGUCUUUUAAGUAGUGCAAUUGCUUUG